GACAUAAACUAUUUUAGACGCAAUCAAGAAAGAAUCGCCCAUCAUGUGGAAUUGAGCGGCAGUUUUAAAUGUACUAAGAGAAGACUGGUCUCGAAAAAAAAAAAAAAAAACAUUUUUUUCCCCUUCUUUUUUUGGAGACGCCUAAAGGAGCCUGUUUGUGUGCUGUGUGGCCACGUUCUGCUGUGACUGGAUCUUGUCUUCUGCCUGGCUCCUCGAUUUCCGUCCGGCUGGAUUUGGGGACAACACUGCCUGGCGCAGACAGAUCAAAUGACACUUCAAAGAAGCAUAAAAUGAACAGACUAUUCAAACAAAGGUAAUUUACAUUUUUUUAUUUGAUAAAACCUGACUGAUGUACAAAACGAAAAUAGAAUAUUGUUUACUGGAAAACAGGUCUACAAUCUCUCACACAUCUUCUCUUGCAACAGAUAGAAUUCCAGAAACAUCUAAGUUCCUCUGUGUACAGUUAUUUCUCCUGUAGGAGCCUUUGUAUGGAUGUAAUACACACAUAUAUGUAUAUGCAUAGAGCAUGACAUAAAUAAAACCUGCAAUAGCCUAUAAGAAAGAAGCUCCUAUUUAGAGGAAAGGGUAAGAUACUUUUAUUAUAAUGAAAGCCAGUUCACUUCAUCACUUGGACCAUGGACACUAAUGUAAAUAAAAUGGCUUAAAAAAUAAGACAAUAGUAGUAUUGACUGUAGACUACAAUUUGCACAUUUGUAAUUCUUAUAAAUGAAAUAUUUAAAAUGAUUUGGUGUUGGGCCAGUUCCUUAUGCAUUCUGCAUUCAUGUGUAUAGGAUUCAAAGACGUUCCAAAUAUUGAUCAUAAACCAAGUGUAUAUGAAUUAAUUAAAUAGCAUAUUUCUGGCCCAAAUAUGAGGAAAACCAUAACUUUUUACUGUAAAUCAGGAGAGAUUGUUUUAUCCCCAAAUAAACUAGGAUGUUUCAAGUCAUGUUUCAGCAAUUUGGAGACCUACAAACUAUCUGCAAGCAAGCACAACAACCAUACUCUAAUCUACUAGAUAGUAGUGAGAAUUUAGUGCUUGAAUUCAGGCUGCUUGAAUUCAGUAUAUCCUUCUCUAUGCUGAUUUUCAAGUAGAUAUUCUGUAGCUCAGCUAGAUAAUCUUUUAAAAGC
ensembl:lincRNA